rnacentral:rRNA from 1 species
GACGAACGCUGGCGGUGUGCUUAACACAUGCAAGUCGAACGAUGAGGCCCUUCGGGGUACAUCAGUGGCGGACGGGUGAGUAACGCGUAGGUAACGUGCCCUGUACUGGGGGAUAACAUCGGGAAACCGGUGCUAAUACCGCAUACGCUGUGAGUUGAAAUACUUACAGUUAAAACUCCGGUGGUACAGGAUCGGCCUGCGUUGGAUUAGCUUGUUGGUGGGGUAAUGGCCUACCAAGGCGAUGAUCCAUAGUUGGUCUGAGAGGAUGACCAGCCACAGUGGGACUGAGACACGGCCCACACUCCUACGGGAGGCAGCAGUAGGGAAUAUUGCGCAAUGGGCGAAAGCCUGACGCAGCAACACCGCGUGGAGGACGAAGCCCCUUGGGGUGUAAACUCCUGUCAGCAGGGAUGAUAAUGACAGUACCUGCAGAGGAAGCAUCGGCUAACUACGUGCCAGCCGCCGCCGUAACAC